CCUACGGGGAGCAGCAGUAGGGAAUCUUCCACAAUGGGCGAAAGCCUGAUGGAGCAACGCCGCGUGGGUGAAGAAGGUCUUCGGAUCGUAAAACCCUGUUGUUAGAGAAGAAAGUGCGUGAGAGUAACUGUUCACGUUUCGACGGUAUCUAACCAGAAAGCCACGGCUAACUACGUGCCAGCAGCCGCGGUAAUACGUAGGUGGCAAGCGUUAUCCGGAUUUAUUGGGCGUAAAGGGAACGCAGGCGGUCUUUUAAGUCUGAUGUGAAAGCCUUCGGCUUAACCGGAGUAGUGCAUUGGAAACUGGGAGACGUGAGUGCAGAAGAGGAGAGUGGAACUCCAUGUGUAGCGGUGAAAUGCGUAGAUAUAUGGAAGAACAUCAGUGGCGAAAGCGGCUCUCUGGUCUGUAACUGACGCUGAGGUUCGAAAGCGUGGGUAGCAAACAGGAUUAGAUACCCUUGUAGUC
rnacentral:rRNA from 1 species